UACGGAGGAUCCAAGCGUUAUCCGGAAUCAUUGGGUUUUAAAGGGUCCGUAGGCGGCCUUAUAAGUCAGUGGUGAAAUCUCACGGCUCAACCGUGAAAUGGCCAUUGAUACUGUAGGGCUUGAAUUAUUGUGAAGUAACUAGAAUAUGUAGUGUAGCGGUGAAAUGCUUAGAUAUUACAUGGAAUACCCAUUGCGAAGGCAGGUUACUAACAAUAUAU
rnacentral:rRNA from 1 species